ACGUGAGCUAAUACCGGAUAUCUCAUUUCCUCUCCUGAGGGAAUGAUGAAAGACGGAGCAAUCUGUCUCUUGCGGAUGGGCCUGCGGCGCAUUACCUAGUUGGUGAGGUAACGGCUCACCAAGGCGACGAUGCGUAACCAACCUGAGAGGGUGAACGGCCACACUGGGACUGAGACACGGCCCAAACUCCUACGGGAGGCAGCAGUAGGGAAUCUUCCGCAAUGGGCGAAAGCCUGACGGAGCAACGCCGCGUGAGUGAUGAAGGUUUUCGGAUCGUAAAGCUCUGUUGCCAGGGAAGAACGUCCGAUAGAGUAACUGCUAUCGGAGUGACGGUACCUGAGAAGAAAGCCCCGGCUAACUACGUGCCAGCAGCCGCGGUAAUACGUAGGGGGCAAGCGUUGUCCGGAAUUAUUGGGCGUAAAGCGCGCGCAGGCGGUCAUUUAAGUCUGGUGUUUAAGGCCAAGGCUCAACCUUGGUUCGCACUGGAAACUGGGUGACUUGAGUGCAGAAGAGGAGAGUGGAAUUCCACGUGUAGCGGUGAAAUGCGUAGAUAUGUGGAGGAACACCAGUGGCGAAGGCGACUCUCUGGGCUUGUAACUGACUCUGAGGCGCGAAAGCGUGGGGGAGCAAACAGGAUUAGAUACCCUGGUAGUCCACGCCGU
rnacentral:rRNA from 1 species